GACGAACGUUGGCGGCGUGCCUAAUACAUGCAAGUCAACUGGAGUUAAGGUAGCAAUAUCUUAACAACGGUGGCGCACGGGUGAGUAACACGUAGGUAAUCUGCCUUCAGGUCUGACAUAACCCACCGAAAGGUGAGCUAAUAUCAGAUGAUGCAGCGGCUUGACAUCAAGACAGUUGUUAAAGCUUCGGCGCCUGAAGAUGAGCCUGCGUCUGAUUAGCUAGUUGGCGGGGUAACGGCCCACCAAGGCUGCGAUCAGUAGCUGGUCUGAGAGGAUGAUCAGUCACACUGGAACUGAGACACGGUCCAGACUCCUACGGGAGGCAG
rnacentral:rRNA from 1 species